rnacentral:rRNA from 1 species
GUGCCAGCCGCCGCGGUAAUACGGAGGGUGCGAGCGUUAAUCGGAAUUACUGGGCGUAAAGCGUACGCAGGCGGUUUGUUAAGCGAGAUGUGAAAGCCCCGGGCUCAACCUGGGAACUGCAUUUCGAACUGGCAAACUAGAGUGUGAUAGAGGGUGGUAGAAUUUCAGGUGUAGCGGUGAAAUGCGUAGAGAUCUGAAGGAAUACCGAUGGCGAAGGCAGCCACCUGGGUCAACACUGACGCUCAUGUACGAAAGCGUGGGGAGCAAACGGGAUUAGAUACCCCGGUAGUCCACGCCGUAAACGAUGUCUACUAGAAGCUCGGAGCCUCGGUUCUGUUUUUCAAAGCUAACGCAUUAAGUAGACCGCCUGGGGAGUACGGCCGCAAGGUUAAAACUCAAAUAAAUUGACGG